UCAAAGAUCAAUCAAACUACAAGAGAAAAAGGAUAGAAAUUAAUAGAAAUCCCAUUUUCAUUUCUCAUGCUUCACAUCAAAAAAGGGGAAUAUAUAUAUAUAAGUCUAAGCCUUAAUCGAAUUGAACUGAUCGCACCUGUUCCUGACCUCCCCCUGACUCCCAGUCUUGAUAUCAAGAACGCUAAGCUUCUCCAUUGCAUGAGAAAAGUCCGAGAAGAAUGCCGAUUGGUCCUUUGCGUAAAGCUCUACAAAGGGCUUAGUCCUGGGGUCCUUAAAUAGCAAACUAUCGGUUAUUAACAGCCCUAGCCCUCUAGGCAAGUUCUGGUAAUACAUGUUAUCGAACUUGCCAGGUGUAAGCACAUCGUUGAAGGCGGACAUGGUUGAAUCUUUGGUGUAAUUAGCGCAGAAAGUCUUCAAUGCAGCGGCAUACUUUGGGUUGAAAUCAGGGUCUGUUGGGGUGGUCUUGCUGAAAUGGUAAAGCCUGUCAGCGAACUCCUUGCAGUGCGAGAAUCCGAUGGUGUGACCACCCAUCAAUGCAACAAAUUCCCUGGCGGUGAAUCCUCUCAACUUAAACAAAUCCAGCAUCUGAUCCAUGGUCAUGUUGGUUCUAGGGAGACUUUCUUCUGCAUGAGAGGCCUUAGAGAUUAGCCCGUCCUUCCGCCCUAGAUGAACAGUAUAGAAUGGUCCUCCAACCAUGAUGACGAGGUCGCGGGUGACCUGAGCGAGGAUGUCAGCGCAGGAAACGAUUUUAGGGCAUGAGAGUUCGAGGGCUGUCUUGGCUCUGACUACCACGUCGAAGGCGUCCCCAGGAAGGGCAUGGUUGAUAUCACCAUCUCGCUCAGCCUUAUUGAAAGCGUUAGAUGAAAUGAGAACGGAUGCGUCACAGCCGUCAACCAUGCAAUCAUGGAAGAAGAGACGUAAAGUGGCGGCAGCAGUGGUGGGGCUGCUGAUUUGCUUGUUGGUGACGGUGUCGCGAAUGAUAUUUUGGAAAUUAGGACAGGAGGUCUUGUAGUAGUCGACAGAAAGCUCGGACUCGGAGAGAGUAAAGGAGGGAAAGAGGAGGAGGAGGAGAAGAAAAGGAAAAGGGAAAGCCAUGCCCAUGAAUAUGGGAAUUCAAUAAGAAAGAAAAAGUAGAGGGGAAGGUGUGGUGUAGGGAGGAAGGUAUUGUUCCUUCCUUUGUCAAGAUCUCCGAUCGGCGGAAGAGGAAAUUGAAAAUGAUAAAGAGAUUAGGAAGA
rnacentral:misc_RNA from 1 species